rnacentral:lncRNA from 1 species
UUCUUUCUUUAAUAAAUAUUUGCAAUGGAUUUGAGAGUUUGAAUCAGUAACUGGGAUGAUCAUAUAUAUAAAAAAAAAGAGUCAUGUUGAUAUGAAUGUAUUACUUUUAUGAUUUGCUGAUUGAGUUGAAUUGAGAAUUUCCUAAUUAAAUCUUUUGUGAAAGAAAUUUGAACCAUGUGUGUUUUGAGCCUAAUGAUAAGG